CAGGAUUUUGCUUGCUGGAGCAGCUGCCGGCAGCCCUCGCGGCGCGGCGGUUGGUGGAGACUGUGCGCCUGCCUCUGUGUGUGUGCGCGUGUGUGUGAGUGUGCGCAAGUGGGCGUGCGUGCGUGUACAUACACCUAUAUAAAUUAUAGCAUUUAAAGGGUAGCGCCAUGACCUUGCUAACAUCGCUGACUCCCCAGCUUGGCCAUUUCGCCACCCGGCAGAGCCCACGCUUCACCGGCUCCCUGAGAAGAGCCCAGCCUCGCCUCCCCGUGCCGACCUCCCGUCUCGUUCUGUCCGGUCGGACCCGACCCGCAGUCAGCUUGGCACUCGUGUGCUUUCAUGCCAGUAGUGAGGAGCGGGUGCGCCCCCCGCCACCCCAACCACGUGCUGCUGCUGCCCUGUCUGCCAGCACUCUGUUGCUCGGUACCAAGGCACCGCUCUUCUGUGCUGCUGGUUUUUCCGCCUUCCCGCUGGGUGUUCAUAACCUCCAGACUCGCCCCCUGCUUCUGGCACUGGGUUAGAAGAAGAGAGCUCGGGAUGGUCGCAGCAGAGCUCAGUGUCGGGGCCAAGGAUGGGAAGAAGCAGGUUCGGCCCCUGCUGCACGCUUUGGCUUUGGACAGACGCAGGGAAGCUGGAGAAAGGGCCUGGACGUGCACCAAGCCCUCCUGUGCCCUGCCUUCAUCGCCAGUGACCAGAAGAUGCUCGUGGCACUUUGCUGUGUUUUUCCAGGACUUUCGCUAGCCCUGAGGGGGUCUGGAUCCCAGCCCUUGGCUCCACAGCGGGACCUGUGGGUGGAGGCGUAGGAGCGAGUGGUGUGCAAUGGCGACUGGCCGAGGGAAAGCGUUGCAGCCCGUCGAGAGGGGCCGUGUGGCGGGGCGGCUGCUGGUGGCCCAUAGACCAAACCCUGAGGGGCUGUUGUCUUGCCUGGGCCAAUGGGGACA